GGGCGCGUAGCUCAACGGCAGAGCAGGGGCCUUUUAAGCCUUUGGUUGGGGGUUCGAAUCCCUCCGCGCUCA
rnacentral:tRNA from 1 species